GGUGGAAACUACAUUUGCAGCCUAUAAGGUGACAGAUGAAAUUCACUUCAUUUGAUCAUGAAAGAAAGACACACCGCCACCAUGAAUCUGCCAUGUCUACCUGACCACGCAUCACCACUUCCGCCUUCCCUCUGAAGACCCCAUCAAUUCCAGAAUCCACCUCGGUUCCUUCCCAGCAUUCAUCUCUAUUCAUUUCCGGUCCCUCACCAUAAAUCUUAACCCACUCAGCCAUUCUGGCAGUCUCUGUUAGAUGAAUUACUUUUGUAUAAAUCUGCUUGGACUCGCUAUUUACAGUAUACGGGGCCAGAAAACCCCAAACUUU